rnacentral:rRNA from 1 species
GUACGAACGCUGGCGGCGUGCCUCAGACAUGCAAGUCGAACGCGAAAGUCCCCUUCGGGGGACAAGUAGAGUGGCGCACGGGUGAGUAACACGUAGGUAAUCUACCUUACGGAUGGGGAAGUAACAACCGGAAACGGUUGCUAAUACCGCAUAAUGCAGCGGCACCUAAUGGUGACAGUUGUUAAAGCGGGGGAUCGAAAGACCUCGCGUCUGAAGAGGAGCCU